CACGCCGUAAACGUUGGGCGCUAGGUGUGGGGAACCUUCCACGUUCUCCGUGCCGUAGCUAACGCAUUAAGCGCCCCGCCUGGGGAGUACGGCCGCAAGGCUAAAACUCAAAGGAAUUGA
rnacentral:rRNA from 1 species